ACUCCUACGGGAGGCAGCAGUGGGGAAUAUUGGACAAUGGGGGGAACCCUGAUCCAGCCAUGCCGCGUGUGCGAAGAAGGCCUUAUGGUUGUAAAGCACUUUAAGCGAGGAGGAGGCUACUGAGACUAAUACUCUUGGAUAGUGGACGUUACUCGCAGAAUAAGCACCGGCUAACUCUGUGCCAGCASCCGCGGUAAU
rnacentral:rRNA from 1 species